GGACGAACGCUGGCGGCGUGCCUAGUACAUGCAAGUCGAGCGGGGUUAUUACCACAGAAACCUUCGGGUUGAAGAGGUUCUAACCUAGCGGCGGACGGGUGAGUAACGCGUGGGUAACCUGCCCUAAAGUUCGGGAUAACACUGGGAAACCAAUGCUAAUACCGGAUGACUUUUAGUUGAGGCAUCUUAAUUAAAAGAAAGUUUUUAACGCUUUAGGAUGGACCCGCGUCCCAUUAGCUAGUUGGUGAGGUAACGGCUCACCAAGGCAGCGAUGGGUAGCCGGCCUGAGAGGGUGACCGGCCACACUGGAACUGAGACACGGUCCAGACUCCUACGGGAGGCAGCAGUGGGGAAUAUUGCACAAUGGAGGAAACUCUGAUGCAGCGACGCCGCGUGAGUGAAGAAGGCUUUCGAGUCGUAAAACUCUGUCCUUGGGGACGAUAAUGACGGUACCCAAGGAGGAAGCCCCGGCUAACUACGUGCCAGCAGCCGCGGUAAUACGUAGGGGGCGAGCGUUGUCCGGAAUUAUUGGGCGUAAAGGGUGCGUAGGCGGUCUUUUAAGUCAGAUGUGAAAGACCACAGCUUAACUGUGGGGUUGCAUUUGAAACUGGAAGGCUUGAGUAUCGGAGAGGGUAGUGGAAUUCCCGGUGUAGCGGUGAAAUGCGUAGAUAUCGGGAGGAAUACCAGUGGCGAAGGCGCCUACCUGGACGAAAACUGACGCUGAGGCACGAAAGCUGGGGCAGCAAACAGGAUUAGAUACCCUGGUAGUCCUAGCUAUAAACGAUGGGUACUAGGUGUAGGGGUUUCGAUACCCCUGUGUCGGAGUUAACGCAAUAAGUACCCCGCCUGGGGAGUACGGUCGCAAGACUA
rnacentral:rRNA from 1 species